UGGUCUUCCUCUCCAGGUGAUUAUUGUGAGGUGAACGUGUGCACUAAUGGUGGAACCUGUGUGACUGGAGCAGGAGCUCCGUUCAUCUGUAUCUGCCUCGAUGGCUUCUCUGGAGAAACCUGCAAUGAGACUGAGGCUGGGCCCUGCAACCCCAACCCAUGCAAGAAUGAUGCCAUCUGCGAGGUGACCGGUCAGUCCCGCAGAGGGGAUGUCUUCAGCGAGUACGUCUGCAAGUGCCAACCAGGCUUCGAGGGAGUCCACUGCCAGAACAGUGUCCAAGGGGCAGAUUUAAUUUCACAAAAAGGUAAAAGUUGAAAUGCGAGUCGAGGAGAGAAAGAUGUCUUGUGUGUUUGUUUUGCGCUGUGGUCUCUUUUCCUUCUUCGAUCCAGGUGCUCUCUGUUCUCUUGGCUGCAUGCGGAGGCUGAGGAAUUCAGCAACACACACGAACGCACAAAACAUUGCACGUACAUACACACACACUAACAGACUAGGAACCGCUGGGUUCAGCACUAUCUCUGCUUGUUUCUGAGUCAAGACUGGCAGCAAAACUGGCAGUGAGAUAAUGUUAGCAUUAGUUACACAGCCUUUUUAUCAGUUCACCCACCCUGACAGGAAUAUGUCCUUUCAUACUAAAAGAUUUGUUGUUCAACUCCCUCAUGCCUCAAACCACAGUGAAACUACACAAGUUACCAUCUAUUUUAAUCUAGAUUUCCCCAGCCCAUGUUUAUGCUCCAAACAGCUCAUUUAACUUUAAAAAACAGAGCCAAGUGUUUGCUGUGUUUUCUUUGCCCCACAUAUUACAGCUCAUCAGAAUCCAUACAUUCACAAGUACCUUGGCAGGUACUUUUAGUUUAGCUGCCAGAUUCAGAGCCUCUGCGGAGAAAGCAUUUACACUAAUUAGAUGAUGCCUCGAGGAUAACGAUGAGGGGAAUAUAUUUGACCAUGUUGGUUUAUGAAACCCUCUCUGAGGACUUCCACAUCAGGGAAGUACCCAUCCAUUCACAGCUACUGAUGACUGUGUUGUGACAUUUCAAGUGCUCUCUAAUUUGUGUGUGUGUGUGUGU